rnacentral:RNase_P_RNA from 1 species
GAGGGUGCCAGGUAACACCUGGGCAGUGUAAACUGAUGGAAAGUGCCACAGAAAAUAUACCGCCUAAUUGAUUAGGUAAGGGUGAAAUGGUGCGGUAAGAGCGCACCGCGCUGCCGGUAACGGUAGUGGCAAGACAAACCCCACCUGGAGCAAGACCAAAUAGGGACGGCCUUUCGCACGGUUCGCCGGGGCGAAAAGUGAGUUUUCGAGCUGCCGUCCGGGUAGGUCGCUUGAGGCGGGUGGCAACACUCGUCCCAGAGGAAUGGCCAUCUAUCGAUGGAAACAUCGAGGACAGAACCCGGCUUACAGGCCAUCUGGCGCA